CAAUAGCGUAUAUUAAAGUUGUUGCGGUUAAAAGCUCGUAGUUGGAUUUCUGCCUGAGGCAGCCGGGUCCGCACUUAGUGCGUGUAUCUGGUUUGGUUUGGGCAUCCUCUUGGGGAUCGUUGCUGUGCUUAGUUGCAUGGUGCGGAAUUCAAGACGUUUACUUUGAGGAAAUUAGAAGUGGUUACGGCAAGACUAUCGCUUUGAAUACAUUAGCAUGGAAUAAUAAUAUAGGGCGUAAGUUCUAUCUUGUUGGUUUUCUUAGUAACAUACGCAAUGAUUAAUAGGGACAAUUGGGGGCGAUUCGUAUUAACGUCGUCAGAGGU
rnacentral:rRNA from 1 species